UACGAAGGGUGCUAGCGUUGUUCGGAAUCAUUGGGCGUAAAGCGUGCGUAGGCGGCUUGAUAAGUCAGCUGUGAAAGCCCAGGGCUCAACCUUGGAAUUGCAGUUGAAACUAUCAGACUAGAGUAUGGCGGGGGAUAGUGGAAUUCUUAGUGUAGGGGUGAAAUCCGUAGAUAUUAAGAGGAACAUCAGUGGCGAAAGCG
rnacentral:rRNA from 1 species